rnacentral:lncRNA from 1 species
GUCUACCUACGUUCAUCCGUAGGUGAGGAUUGUUGUUGAGUACGUCCCUCGUCUAACCUACGUUCUUCCGUAGGUGAGGUUUACUCUUGGACACUUGCCCCUCUGUCUAUAUUUUUGUAGAAUGGGGUGUGUGUUUAGCUGAUGUGUCCCCCGUCUAACCUACGUUCUUCCGUAGGUGGGGUUCAUUUUUUGCCGAUGUGUUCCCCGUCUAACCUACGUUCUUCCGUAGGUGGGGUUUACUUUUGAGUAUAUCCCUCGUCUAACACUACGUUUCCGUAGGUG